CGGCUCAGUAACACGUGGAUAACCUACCCUCAGAUCUGGGAUAACUCCGGGAAACUGGAGAUAAUACCGGAUAAUCCGUGAACGCUGGAAUGCCUUACGGUUGAAAGCUUUAGCGUCUGAGGAUGGGUCUGCGGCCGAUUAGGUAGUUGCUGGGGUAACGUCCCAACAAGCCGAUAAUCGGUACGGGUUGUGAGAGCAAGAGCCCGGAGAUGGAUUCUGAGACACGAAUCCAGGUCCUACGGGGCGCAGCAGGCGCGAAAACUUUACACUGCGCGAAAGCGCGAUAAGGGGACCUCGAGUGCGUGCGCAAAGCGUACGCUUUUCAGAUGCCUAAAAAGCAUCUGGAAUAAGGGCCGGGCAAGACCGGUGCCAGCCGCCGCGGUAACACCGGCGGCUCAAGUGGUGGCCGCUAUUAUUGGGCUUAAAGGGUCCGUAGCCGGACCAGUUAGUCCCUUGGGAAAUCUUACGGCUUAACCGUAAGGCUGCCAAUGGAUACUGCUGGUCUUGGGACCGGGAGAGGCAAGAGGUACCUCACGGGUAGGAGUGAAAUCCUGUAAUCCUUGAGGGACCGCCAGUGGCGAAGGCGUCUUGCUA
rnacentral:rRNA from 1 species